rnacentral:rRNA from 1 species
GUGCACCAGUCGAGAAACCUUCGCAAUGCGGGAAACCGCGACGAGGGGACUCCCAGUGCCUACGCUCAGCGUAGGCUGUUCCCGAGCCUAGAAAGCUCGGGGAGUAAGGGCUGGGUAAGACGGGUGCCAGCCGCCGCGGUAAUACCCGCAGCCCGAGUGGUGGCCACUAUUAUUGGGCCUAAAGCGUCCGUAGCCGGCCCGGUAAAUGCCUGGGUAAAUCGUGAGGCCUAACCUCACGAAUUCCGGGUAGACUGCCGGGCUAGGGACCGGAGGAAGGAGAGGGUACUCCAGGGGGUAGGGGUGAAAUCCUGUAAUCCCUGGAGGACCACCGGUGGCGAAGGCGCUCUCCUAGGACGGGUCCGACGGUGAGGGACGAAAGCCAGGGGAGCGAACCGGAUUAGAUACCCCCGUAGU